rnacentral:rRNA from 1 species
CACGUAGGGGGGCGAGCGUUGUCCGGAAUCAUUGGGCGUAAAGAGCUCGUAGGCGGCUCAGUAAGUCGGGUGUGAAACCCCCAGGCUCAACCUGGGGACGCCACCCGAUACUGCUGUGGCUAGAGUCCAGUAGGGGAGUGUGGAAUUCCCGGUGUAGCGGUGAAAUGCGCAGAUAUCGGGGAGGAACACCAGCGGCGAAGGCGGCACUCUGGGCUGGAACUGACGCUGAGGAGCGAAAGCGUGGGUAGCAAACAGGA